AUGCGUUUUGUGCGGCGCAUCCAGGAGUCUGAGGUGAAGGAGGCUUUAAAAAGGAUGAAAGGAGGCAAGGCGAUGGGCCCUGAUUGUAUCCCCAUUGAGGUGUGGAAAGGUCUCGGGGACAUAGCGAUAGUAUGGCUAACCAAGCUUUUCAACCUCAUUUUUCGGGCAAACAAGAUGCCCGAAGAAUGGAGACGGAGUAUAUUAGUACCAAUCUUCAAGAACAAGGGGGAUGUUCAGAGUUGUACUAAUUACCGUGGAAUUAAGCUGAUGAGCCAUACAAUGAAGCUAUGGGAGAGAGUCAUUGAGCACCGCUUAAGAAGAAUGACAAGCGUGACCAACAAUCAGUUUGGUUUCAUGCCUGGGAGGUCGACCAUGGAAGCCAUUUUCUUGGUACGACAACUUAUGGAGAGAUAUAGGGAGCAUAAGAAGGACUUGCAUAUGGUGUUCAUUGACUUGGAGAAGGCCUAUGAUAAGAUACCGCGGAAUGUCAUGUGGUGGGCCUUGGAGAAACACAAAGUCCCAGCAAAGUACAUUACCCUCAUCAAGGACAUGUACAAUAAUGUUGUGACAAGUGUUCGAACAAGUGAUGUCGACACUGAUGACUUCCCGAUUAAGAUAGGACUGCAUCAGGGGUCAGCUUUGAGCCCUUAUCUUUUUGCAUUGGUGAUGGAUGAGGUCACAAGGGGUAUACAAGGAGAUAUCCCAUGGUGUAUGCUCUUUGCGGAUGAUGUGGUGCUAGUUGACGAUAGUCGGACGGGGGUAAAUAGGAAGUUAGAGUUAUGGAGACAAACCUUGGAAUCGAAAGGGUUUAGGCUUAGUAGAACUAAAACCGAGUACAUGAUGUGUGGUUUCAGUACUACUAGCUGUGAGGAGGAGGAGGUUAGCCUUGAUGGCCAGGUGGUACCUCGGAAGGACACCUUUCGGUAUUUGGGGUCAAUGUUGCAGGAGGAUGGGGGUAUUGAUGAAGAUGUGAACCAUCAAAUCAAAGCCGGAUGGAUGAAGUGGCACCAAGCUUCUGGCAUUCUCUGUGACAAGAGAGUGCCACAAAAGCUAAAAGGCAAAUUCUACAGGACGGUGGUUUGA
rnacentral:rRNA from 1 species